CUCCUGGGCUUGAGCGCCAUUUACUCCCCUCUCUCAUCAGAAGCGAUGAAAAACGACCCCCUGUUCAUCUUCUUCAAGAACAAGAACGUAGACCCUCCCCUUUAGAACUCCAUACAGUGUCGCCCUCAUCUUCUGGAGCAAAACAAAGUUCCUCACCCAUGAACAAACUUUGAAAUUGCUUCUUCUUCUCUCCUCUUCAUCUCCUUCAAGAACCAGACCCUUCUCCUUUUUCAUUCUCACGCCUUUCUACUGCUCAAAAACGUGCACACAUACGCACAAUAGCACAGAGAUUCACGACAGAGGCUACGGGGAAGAUCUGGACAAAAAAAAAGGGUUCAGCGCUUCUUCUGGAUUUUCAUGUGAAAUGGAGUUCGGUUAAGAGGUUGUUGAGUUCACAGUCUCGUUGCCUUCCGUUGGUUUGGUUCUUCUGAGUUGAAAUCUGGGGUUCAGAUGCUAUCUUUUGCUGCUGGAUUAAUAUUGCUGAGCCACACUUGUUUUGAUUUCUACCACAUUUGGGCUCAUUUUAAUGCUUUCGUUUUCAAUUAGGCAUAUGCAUCUCUAGAGGCCUAGUGGGCAUAGCAGCAUGGUUGACACGGAGACUUAGGUGAGCUACACUUCCCCAAAUGACCCGUAUCCAGCGGAGUCUCUUCCAGAUUAUUGUAUUUACUUUCUGUCCAAUUUGUAUUCCGUAUGGUUGUUGUAUUGUAUUGCUUCCCAGGAUUAGCUCAUGCACUUGUGACACCGAGUUCUGGGAUGAUUACGGGGUAUCUUGUAUUAACUGCUUAACAUUUAUAUUCGGUUUGAAACAAUUA